rnacentral:rRNA from 1 species
AUUGAACGCUGGCGGCAGGCCUAACACAUGCAAGUCGAGCGGAGCGGCGGACGGGUGAGUAAUGCCUAUGUAUCUGCCUGGCAGUGGGGGAUAACGUCCGUAAACGGGCGCUAAUACCGCAUACUAUCAGAUGAGCCGAGGUCGGAGUAGCUAGUUGGUGGGGUAAAGGCCUACCAAGGCGACGAUCCGUAACUGGUCUGAGAGGGUGAUCAGUCACACUGAAACUGAGAAGCGCUCCAGAGUCCAACGGGAGGCAGCAGUGGGGAAUAUUGGACAAUGGGCGAAAGCCUGAUCCAUCCAUGCCGCGUGUGUGAAGAAGGUCUUCGGAUUGUAAAGCACUUUAAGUUGGGAGGCGUUACCAACAGAAUAAGCACCGGCUAACUUCGUGCCAGCAGCCGCGGUAAUUC